rnacentral:misc_RNA from 1 species
GAUGAAGAACGUAGCGAAAUGCGAUAAGUAAUGUGAAUUGCAGAAUCCAGUGAAUCAUCGAAUCUUUGAACGCACAUUGCGCCCGCCAGUAUUCUGGCGGGCAUGCCUGUCUGAGCGUCAUUUCAACCCUCGCAACCAGCUUGCUGGAUGCGGUGUUGGGGAUCGGCCACCCGUACUGGGCGGCCGUCCCUUAAAUAGAGUGGCGGUUGCGCUGUGACCUCCUCUGCGUAGUAGCAAUAUCUCGCAGGCGGAUAGCGGUGUAACCACGCCGUAAAACCCCCAACUCUUCUUUGGUUGACCUCAGAUCAGGUAGGAAUACCCGCUGAACUUAAGCAUAUCAAUAAGCGGAGGA